CCACUUCUCCCCAGGUUCACCAGAGGAAACACCACUGCACAAAAUGCUUUUCCUCCCAGCUGCUGCUCUGUGCUGUCUGUGUUCAGCACUGGUUACCAUGGCAGCACAGCUGUUUCAGGAUGAUCCAGAACUGACCAAGAGAGUUGGAGAAAGUGUCUCCAUCGACUGUGAUGGGACUAACCAGUGUACCAGUCUGAGUCGGGUAAAUUGGUACCAGAAGAAAGAAACAGGAACAUUCAAAGAUUUUCAAACUGCGUCUACACUCAACAUAAAGAACGUCGGACUUGAGCAUUCAGCCAUCUACUACUGCUACUGUUGGGUUUCUCAUGCCCACAGAUACACAUACAGCCACCUGAUCUUUGGCUCUGGAACUAAACUGUCUGUAACAGAUGGAAACCAGAAAAGAACGACACAGGCACCGAGAGUUCAUGCAAACACACAGCAGAGCCCCACCCGACCAGCAGGACCCAGAGUCCACGUGGAUGUGAACAGCUCCCUGCUGUGUGUGCCCCCAGCCAUGUUUCCUCCUCUGGUCCAGCUGUCAUGUAAAAGACAGAAGAAGAACGGAGGAGAACCGGAGGAGCUGGAGCUCAGAGAGUCAGGACGCAACGCCUCCAUCUUACUGAUCCAUCAGAACAGCACAUAUAAAUGUAACUGCUACGUGAAGCACAAGGGGGGCACAGUGGAGGCCCAAACACAACAAGAGGUUCCAGCUCCAGCAGCCUCCUGUCCUCCAGAGAGAGAGCCAGCAGACCUGCCAGCUCUGCAGCCAGCUGACUGUAAGAU
ensembl:lncRNA